UACGAAGGGUGCAAGCGUUACUCGGAAUUACUGGGCGUAAAGCGUGCGUAGGCGGUUUGUUAAGUCUGUUGUGAAAGCCCCGGGCUCAACCUGGGAAUGGCAAUGGAUACUGGCAGGCUAGAGUGCGGUAGAGGGUAGUGGAAUUCCCGGUGUAGCGGUGAAAUGCGUAGAGAUCGGGAGGAACACCAGUGGCGAAGGCGGCUACCUGGACCAGCACUGACACUGAGGCACGAAAGCGUGGGGAGCAAACCGG
rnacentral:rRNA from 1 species